rnacentral:rRNA from 1 species
CGAACGUUAGCGGCGGGCCUAACACAUGCAAGUCGAGCGAGAAAGGGGCUUCGGCCCCGAGUACAGCGGCAGACGGGUGAGUAAUACGUAGGUAACCUUCCGUUUGUGGGGGACAACGGUCCGAAAGGACCGCUAAUACCGCAUACGUCUCCUGGGACCUCGGUUCCGGGAGGGAAAGCCUCGCAAGGGGCGCAGAACGAGGGGCCUACGUCGCAUCAGCUAGUUGGUGGGGUAAUGGCCUACCAAGGCGAAGACGCGUAGCUGGUCUGAGAGGAUGAUCAGCCACACUGGGACUGAGACACGGCCCAGACUCCUACGGGAGGCAGCAGUGGGGAAUAUUGGACAAUGGGCGCAAGCCUGAUCCAGCCACGCCGCGUGAGUGAUGAAGGCCUUCGGGUCGUAAAGCUCUGUGGGGAGGGACGAACGGCCGGGUGAAGAACCCGGAUUGACGGUACCUCCUUAGCAAGCACCGGCUAACUUCGUGCCAGCAGCCGCGGUAA